GAGAUGAGCAACAGGUACAUAACUCAGCAGAUUAUCAUGCCAAAGGAAAAUAUGCACAGCUAAGGCAUUUCAUCAGGCAGGUUAUGUGCAGAAUAUAGAAACAGCAGUCACAGUUCAAUCACAAUAGCAUUCACAGUUCAGACGUUGCAGCAUUCAAUCCAGAAAAAUCCAAAAUACUCAGCCAGUCAACAACAACAUUCAAACCAGAAAACAGAAGUCAGCUAAUCUAAAGCCUUCUAGUGACUCGAAUAAAAAUCCAGAACAGAAUUGAAAGCAAGUAAAAUAAGGCAGUAAAAAGGGAACAGGGCAGGGAGCUUGGGGGUAGAACCUGCGUUGUAGAAGAAGAAUGGGGGAAGGAAGGUGAAGGCGAGGUGGAGAGGGUUGCAGCGGCACAGAGGUCCGCCGCUGCUGAUGGAAGCUUGAAA